rnacentral:rRNA from 1 species
UACGUAGGCAGCAAGCGUUGUUCGGAAUUACUGGGCGUAAAGAGUGUGUAGGCGGUGCUCUAAGUUCGGUGUGAAAUCUCCCGGCUCAACUGGGAGGGUGCGCUGAAAACUGGGGUGCUCGAGGGUGGGAGAGGUAAGCGGAAUUCCUGGUGUAGCGGUGAAAUGCGUAGAUAUCAGGAGGAACACCUGUGGUGUAGACAGCUUACUGGACCACUUCUGACGCUGAGACACGAAAGCGUGGGUAGCAAACAGG